rnacentral:lncRNA from 1 species
GCUAUCGGAAGCACGGAGCCUUCCGUGCUUCCAGCUUGUUUUCGAUGUUGCGACUUUCGAAUCGUCGAUCGGCUCCGUUAAACUUGAUCUAGAGUAUUUGAAGUAGACUAGAAAAUAAAUUUUAUGAUUUUACGAUAUCAUGCCUAGUGAACGACAGAGACUCAAAUAGCAACAGUGAAAAUAAAAAUCUUACAAAAUGUAAUAAUAUGACAUUAAAAUUUUAAAUCAAAGAUAUUGAUCUUAUUUUAUAUAGUAUAAAGAAUUUUCUAUCAAAAUUUCACGUGAUUUGGAUAUUUCUACACCGUUAAACUUGCAAACGGCUCACUACGGCCAUUAAAAUUUGUUAAUUUUGAGCCCAUUCGAUCACUAGGCAAAUGAUAUCGAAAAAUAAUAAAAUUUAUUUUCUAGGUACUCCAAAUACUCUAGAUCAAGUUUAACGGAGCAGAUCGACAAUUCGAAAGUUGCAACAUUGAAAACGAGCUCGAAGCACAGAAGGCUCCGUGCUUCCGAUAGUAUAGGAGCCUCACUCUAUAUAUAUAUAUAUAUAUAUAGAGAGAGAGAGAGAGAGAGAGAGAAUAUAUAGGUCCUAUAAUAUAUGUUAUUAGAAGCACGGAGGCCUAUAUGCUUUUGAACCGUUUUCAAUGAUAGAGUUUCUGAAUCGACAAUCGGCUUCGUUAGAUUUAAUCUAGCUUAUUUGAAGUACCUGAAAAAUAAAAUUUUACAAUUUUUCGAUAUUAUUUACCUAAUGAUCAAAAUAGUUCAAAAUUAAUAAUUUUUAAUGGUUGAUGUGUGUCGUUUAUAAAUUUAAUGGUGUAGACAUAUUCAGAUCAGAUUAAAUUUUGAUAGAAAUUUUUUUUAUACUAUCUACACUAAGAUUAAUAUCUUUGAUCGAAAAUUUUAGUAUUAUAUCAUAUUUUUUUUGUAGAAUUUUUAUUUUCAACCGUUGAUUUUGAGUCUUUUCGAUCAUUAGGUAAAUAAUAUCGAAAAAUUAUAAAAUUUAUUUUCUAGAUACUUCAAAUAUGUUAGAUCAAGUCUAACGGAGUUGAUCAUUGAUUCGAAAGCUUCAUUAUCGAAAAUGGCUCAAAAGUACGAAGAUCUUCGUACUCUUAAUAGUACACAAGAUCUACUUUAGAUAUAUAU